ACCAACACGGACGCAAAACCAUCGCCCCCGAAUCCUAAACCCUAGAACACACACAGCACACGAACGUUACAAGGCUCUCUCUUCCCGUCCUCUCUCGAAACUGCCUACAGAAGAGGGCAGGGCGAGAUCCAGGAGUUCCUCUGUCCCCGUCGGCAAGACCGGUGGUCUCCUUCACCUCCGGUGGCCAUUAUGGCUGCCGGAGGGGUGGGAGAUCCCGGAUCUGAUGCCUGGCGGUGUAUAUAGUCCUAGAUUUUCUAGGUUUGGUGUCCUUUGCACCGGCGUCAUGGCGGAGGAGGCGUCGGUGUGCGGAAUAAAGUGGCCAUGUCUCCUUCUUCGCUCGCCCGGCGUCGUUCUUGGCACUGGCGAGGAGCUGGGGUCCUUUUGGUCUCGCGGAUCUGAGUGUUUACGAUCCUGCGAGUUGGUCGUCGUCGUCGUCGGUCACCGCUGGGCUCUUUGGUGUGGCGAGACGGCGAGGGGGGUCGAGGAUUCUGACCCAUGGCGUUCGCGGCUUUGGCCCUGUGGAGCGGUGGUUGGGGCUUGUCCGCUUCUUCGGCUCCAUGGGAAGAUGCUUCUGGCGCUUCUUUUGUUGUGGAUGCGGGAGGUGGCUACGACAGGGAUGAAGGACUGGAGGUUGUUCAUCGGCGAUUGGUCUUUGAACCUGCUUCAGCGAAGCUGGCCGAUGCGGAUCUGGUGCGGCAUGGGGCGUUGCUCCGGCCGCCUGGGCUUUUCAGCUCUGCUCAAGAUCUCGCCUCUCGCGGCGGGCUACGAUUGUGCGGCUCACAAAGCUUACAAGCGAUGGUGCUUCUCCGGAUCUAAAGGGGUUGGUCGCUUUUCUUCUCUCUCCGGCGGCGACGACGGCGAGAUGGGGGUAGCAGCGGCUGUGUGGUUGAGUUGGAUUUGGUGUUCUUCCGUAUCCUGCGUGGAUGUACUCGUAUCUACUGUAUGUCUCCUUGUAAUGUUUUCCUUAACAUAAUAUAAUCACGAGUAUUUCCCUCAAAAAAAAAAAAACACGGACGCAAAACCUGUCGCUCCUUUCCUUUCUUCCCGAAGUCUCUUCUUCUCGAUCGCCAGCCCACAACCGACACCCAAGGCCAAAACCCGACGAGAUCCUCUUCUCCAUCCACCUCCACUCCAUCCACGGAGAGCAAGGCAGGCGAUCGCGCCACGACCGUCGAUCCCCCCGUCCGUCGAGGUAUGAGACAGGAGGCCGCCAGCCUGGUGGUCACCCGCGACGAACACCAGCCGCGCCACCACAACCGCCCGCCGCCUCCCGAGGAGGAGGAGGAGGAGGAGGAGGACACGGGCGCCGUGGCCCCGCCGUCCUGCGCGGCGAUCCUGCUGCGGCGGGAGGGCGGCGAGGCCGAGGCGGGGGAAGGCGAGGAGCCGCUGCAGCUGGUCCCGCCGCUCAACUUCGCCAUGGUGGACCACGGCGUGUACCGCUCCGGGUUCCCGGACGCCUCCAACCUGCCGUUCCUCGAGAACCUUCGCCUCCGCUCCGUCCUGUGCCUCUGCCCGGAGCCGUACCCGGAGGCCAACCAGGAGUUCCUCCGUGCCCACGGGAUCAGGCUGUUCCAACUCGGAAUCGACGGCUCCAAGGUUAAUGCAAAUCCCUUCUCCUUAUGGGCAUGGGCAUCCUUGGCUAAACCUCCUCGAAGGAACCCUUUGUGAGCAUUCCCGAAGACAGAAUCCGCGAGGCUCUGAAAGUUAUUCUAGACACAAGAAACCACCCGGUGCUUAUUCACUGCAAGCGUGGAAAGCAUCGAACUGGCUGCGUUGUUGGAUGCUUGAGGAAACUGUAGCGCUGGUGUCUAACAUCAGUAUUCGACGAAUACCAGCGUUUUGCUGCUGCGAAAGCAAGAGUUUCUGAUCUAAGGUUUAUUGAGCUAUUCGACGUCUCAAGCUUAAAGCAUUUACCUGCGUCUUUCUCAUGUUGAGCAAGAAGCAUACAGUACAUGGCAGCCUCUGGGGGCCCAGAUUGGCAUUUCUUUCGCGUAUCUAGUAACAUGGCCGAUAAGAAAUAACUGUUAAUACUACUUUUGAUUCUGUUUUUGGCUCACAAAUCAUGAAGUUGACCCUGACAAGUUAAACAUUGUAAAUCAUUUUUGAAGCUAGGGUAGAUAUUAGAUAGGCCGCAUGAGUUAUAUUCUCACCGUUGCUGCAUUUAUCAUAUGUUUGCUGGCAUUAUGUAAGCAUGUAAUAAUAGUCUGUAAUUAUUGUUAUGUUGUAUACUAAAUAAAACUCAGUCUGGCAAGCAAACCUUGUGUUAUAUUUGGUAUUGUCAAUUGGAUCUGUCCAGUUUUUGGCA